GUGGCAGUGGCGUUCACCUCCAGCUUUCUCCUCAGAGGAGAAAGAGUUAUACACAGUUGCAGGGUCCAGUCUGUCGUGGGAAUGGGGGAGCAGGGAUGUGAGUCAGCCGGUCAUGUUGCAUCCACAGGCAAGAAAUGAAGAUGGAUGAAUUCGAAUCUUCUAUCAGCUUUCGCCUCUUCUAUGAAGUCCAGGCUCUCAGCCCCUGGAGCAGAGCCACCUGCAACCAAUUGUGGUCUUCCCACCACAAUUAACUAAAUCAGGGUGUGCUUGGAGGCUUGCCUUCCGGGCGAUUCUAUAUCCUGUCACUGUGACAACCAACAUUAACUAACAUAAGUAGUAUCAUGCUGAGUACCAACUUUCCAGUCUAGCCUGCAGAUUUUGAGACUGGCCAAAUUCCGCAGAAGUUCACAGGAGGUCAAUUCCUCAGAAUAAGUGUGUCUAUCUUACCUAUCACAGAUAAGCAGGUGUUAAACAAGCAGAUAAGACAAUGCACAGAUAAAUAAAAAAUCUACUUCUUG
rnacentral:lncRNA from 1 species